rnacentral:rRNA from 1 species
GCUAACCAUGCAAGUCGAACGCUCACCUUCGGGUGGGAGUGGCAGACGGGUGAGUAACACGUGGGAACGUACCCUUUGGUUCGGGACAACUCUGGGAAACUGGAGCUAAUACCGGAUACGCCCUUUUGGGGAAAGGUUUACUGCCGAAGGAUCGGCCCGCGUCUGAUUAGCUAGUUGGUGGGGUAACGGCCUACCAAGGCGACGAUCAGUAGCUGGUCUGAGAGGAUGAUCAGCCACACUGGGACUGAGACACGGCCCAGACUCCUACGGGAGGCAGCAGUGGGGAAUAUUGGACAAUGGGCGCAAGCCUGAUCCAGCCAUGCCGCGUGAGUGAUGAAGGCCUUAGGGUUGUAAAGCUCUUUUAUCCGGGACGAUAAUGACGGUACCGGAGGAAUAAGCCCCGGCUAACUUCGUGCCAGCAGCCGCGGUAAUACGAAGGGGGCUAGCGUUGCUCGGAAUCACUGGGCGUAAAGGGCGCGUAGGCGGCGUUUUAAGUCGGGGGUGAAAGCCUGUGGCUCAACCACAGAAUGGCCUUCGAUACUGGGACGCUUGAGUCUGGUAGAGGUUGGUGGAACUGCGAGUGUAGAGGUGAAAUUCGUAGAUAUUCGCAAGAACACCGGUGGCGAAGGCGGCCAACUGGACCGGCACUGACGCUGAG